rnacentral:sRNA from 1 species
CCCUAGCCCUGAUGGAAGUGAAAAUCCUUUUGUGUCCGCCGCGGCGGACGCAAAAGAUUGAAACGGACAGCAGGAAUUAGC